rnacentral:rRNA from 1 species
CCUACGGGUGGCAGCAGUGGGGAAUAUUGCACAAUGGGGGGAACCCUGAUGCAGCGACGCCGCGUGGGUGAAGGAGUAUUUCGGUAUGUAAAGCCCUAUCAGCAGGGAAGAACAAUGACGGUACCUGACUAAGAAGCACCGGCGAAAUACGUGCCAGCAGCCGCGGUAAUACGGAGGGUGCGAGCGUUAUCCGGAUUUACUGGGUGUAAAGGGAGCGCAGGCGGCGCGGUAAGCCAGGUGUGAAAGCCCGCGGCUCAACCGCGGGACUGCAUUUGGAACUGGCAGGCUGGAGUGCCGGAGGGGUAGGCGGAAUGCGUGGUGUAGCGGUGAAAUGCGUAGAUAUUAGGAGGAACACCAGUGGCGAAGGCGGCUUACUGGACGGUGACUGACGCUGAGGCUCGAAAGCGUGGGGAGCAAACAGGAUUAGAUACCCCAGUAGUC